rnacentral:rRNA from 1 species
AUACGUAGGGUGCGAGCGUUGUCCGGAAUGAUUGGGCGUAAAGGGUACAUAGGCGGUUUUUUAAGUCUGGUGUGAAAUUGGUGGGCUCAACCCACCCAAGCAUUGGAAACUGGAAAACUUGAGUCAUGGAGAGGAAAGUGGAAUUCCUAGUGUAGCGGUGAAAUGCGUAGAUAUUAGGAGGAAUACCGGUGGCGAAGGCGACUUUCUGGACAUGUACUGACGCUGAGGUACGAAAGCGUGGGGAGCAAACAGGAUUAGAUACCCGGGUAGUCCACGCCGUAAACGAUGAGUGCUAGGUGUUGGGGGUCAAACCUCGGUGCCGCAGUUAACACAUUAAGCACUCCGCCUGGGGAGUACGUGCGCAAGCAUGAAACUCAAAGGAAUUGACGGGG